rnacentral:piRNA from 1 species
UAAGGACCUGAUUAUAGACAGACAC